GACGAACGCUGGCGGCGUGCUUAACACAUGCAAGUCGAACGGAAAGGCCCUGCUCUUGUGGGGUGCUCGAGUGGCGAACGGGUGAGUAACACGUGAGUAACCUGCCCUUGACUUUGGGAUAACUUCAGGAAACUGGGGCUAAUACCGGAUAGGAGCUCCUGCUGCAUGGUGGGGGUUGGAAAGUUUCGGCGGUUGGGGAUGGACUCGCGGCUUAUCAGCUUGUUGGUGGGGUAGUGGCUUACCAAGGCUUUGACGGGUAGCCGGCCUGAGAGGGUGACCGGCCACAUUGGGACUGGGAUACGGCCCAGACUCCUACGGGAGGCAGCAGUGGGGAAUAUUGCACAAUGGGCGGAAGCCUGAUGCAGCAACGCCGCGUGCGGGAUGACGGCCUUCGGGUUGUAAACCGCUUUCGCCUGUGACGAGGCGUGAGUGACGGUAAUGGGUAAAGAAGCACCGGCUAACUACGUG
rnacentral:rRNA from 1 species